UUUGUAUUUCCUUAUUCAAUUUUUCUUUUCCUGUAGUGGCAGUGCUGGUGACAAUAUUAGUAGUAGUAGUAGUAGUAGUAAUAGUAGUAGUAGUAGUAGUAGUAGUAGUAGUAGUAGUAGUAGUAGUGGUGGUGGUAGUAGUAGUUGUAACGAUGGUGGUGGUGGUGGUGGUAAUGGUGGUGUUUGCGGUAGUAGUUCAACAAAUACAGGCAUUAACAAGCUAACAAUCCCUAGCAUGAGUAUAACAGUAUUAGCGAGUGUGCCUCUAUACUUCUCUUCCUCUAGCCCCCUCUAAGGACACGUGCUCUCUGUCCUAUUACCGUUUGCUGCGAGCCCGGAACAAGUGGCAGGAACAAGAGUUGGGUAUAAGGAACUGUGUGAGUCUGUUAGGGGAGUGCUUUUGAUACUAAUGAAGGACAUGACGAAGAGAUGAAGGACGUGAAAUGUUAGUGUAGGAGAGAGAGAGAGAGAGAGAGAGAGAGAGAGAGAGAGAGAGAGAGAGAGAGAGAGAGAGUGUGUGGGAAGGUGGUGGGGUAUGGCUUCUUUCCCCGGGUGGUCUGUUCUGCCUGGUGUCGGGGGCAGGGCACUCAUAAGUAUUCUCUCCGCUCUGUGUGGUUAGUACUCGGCCAGCACUCGUGACGUUGUGUACCAGGUUUACAAGCAGCCCCUCUCACCUAUCAUAUGCGGAUGAAGCUCGUGGAAAAAAAGCACAAUAAAUUUAGUAUCCGCGAGCAGCACACUACCUAUGGACGUGCUCGUCCUGGAAGGUCCUCACUGGCUCUGAAGGCUCAAAACAAUGGCGCGUGUACAUACGAGUGUCCUACGGUAACUGGCAUCCUCUUAGAGCACGAGUGUUUAUCUGGUUUUAAUGGAUAAAGUAUCAUUACCGACGACUUUGUGAUCGUGUUACUGUGUGAUGUACUCACAUUCAAGUAUAUGAAUCUUUAACCAGCAUAGUAUAUAUAACAAGAGUAUAGUGCUCAGCAAGGAACAAUGUUUAGUUUUCGUGAGCUUGUGGAGUCAAUGGAAAAAAAGACAUCUGAAAUUGUUGCGCCAAUUUCACGUCCCACACAGUUAUCAUUACCACGCUUUUUUCAUGAUGCUCUCAUAGAUUGUGAGGAAAGCGCAAGAGAGCAGACGUCACAACACACAGCGGAGACUAAUAAUGAAAAGAUGGAUGGACAUGGGAGGCAAGAGGGAUUCUUCGAACACAGUGACUCACGAAAAGAGCUGGAACACCAUGAAGUAACAUUCUGGGAAGAGAAAGUUGUGCACCCGAGCAGGGACGAUCAGACAGCGUGCACUGAAAAGACAGACAUUGAAUCAUUAUGGAUAGUGAGAAAAGAGACAGACGUACUUCCAAUCUUCAAGCAUGGUAGUUUGAUAAUGAAACCUGAAAAUGAUUCAGUCAAUGACUUUUAUGACGCAGUCAAAAGAAACGAUUGCACGUUGCCCCAACUUAAUCUGGUGCAUCAAAUCUCUUCUCUUGACGAACAGGAUUUAAACGCUUCGAACACAUCUUUGCGGCCUGAACACCAUCUAACUUGCAGUUCUCUAGAUUCUAAAGGCAAACGUAAACACAAUUCUGAUGAGGAUAUAAUGACUCCAGCUUCCCAACGAUUGAGUGAGGACACAGAUAUCCAGGGUGAUAAAUGCAAUCAACUCAAAACUAACAGAACAACAACUCGAAGUAUGUGUGCCAGAUAUAAGAUUAGAGACCGUGUAUGUCGGUCAGCAAAGCAAAAAUAUUCACAUAAUCCUUCAGAAGAAAUCAGGAGAGGUGAAGAAGUUAGCAAUGUCAGUUCAACAGCCGUGAGGAAGCAAGGGGGUGAAGAUAUAGUUGAAAAUUACGCUUCCGCGGAUUUACUUUUACAUGAAAGUCAAUGUGCUGAAAUGUGCCACCAUCAAACACCCGUAAAAGAAACGUUAGUUUCAAAUGACCAACCUGAAAGGGACAAGACAGCAGCGCAAGGAUCCUGGAGCAGCGACUUGCAUUACUUUAUAACAGAUCCUUGGCAAAACGCCACCGUUGCUACCAUGCCGCGGCUCAACAACCAAAAUUGUUACUCUGAGCAACACAGAAACACAUCAGGUAAAAGUCUUCGUUUAAAUGAAGAAAAUGAAUGGGCAGCACUCAGUCUUCCAGAAUAUGAAGAGGAAGAGACUACUGAAAACUCUAGACAUGCGUCCAAACAUGACGAAAAGGAUCCGGAUAAGAUAAGGGGAGCUUCACGUGGCUCACAAUCGAUGCUCCACGCUCCCACAUCAGGAACCUCGGAAAGUAUCGCAAGGACUAUAGCAACACAUUUUGCACGGAACUCCCGGGAAAAGUUGAGGAAUUUGAGAAAGAAGAAAGAUUCAAAGGUAAUAAGUGUUGAACUCAUUAAAGAUUUGCCAGAUUACAACGUGCAUGAAAGAAAAAGAAACAGAAGCAGGGAUCCGCAGAGUCUCGCACCUGCAGUGCACGACGUGGAUACAAAUAUGGGAGACAACGACGGGUCUCGAGCGUCCUCGUCUUCUACAGGGUUCAGAUGCCAACUGUGCUUGUCCUGGUGGCGAGACGAGAUCUCACUGACGCGGCACCAACGCCUGCAUGCUCCUGGCCGCCCCUUUGCCUGUCCGGACUGCCCGUCUCGUUUCAACCAGCUAGUGCAUCUACAAAUACACCGCCGCACGCACACUGGCGACAAGCCCUUCCGUUGUGGUACAUGCAGCGCCUCCUUUAGCAGAAAAGACAGGCUGAGGUCUCAUGAGCGACGGCACAGCGGCGAGCAGCCCUACACGUGCCCGUAUUGUCCUGCGUCCUUCCGCGAUGCUGGCAGCCUGCGGGGCCACGUGCUUGCACACGCCCACCAGCCUCCCUACACCUGCCGUCUCUGCAGCGCCACCUUCGCCCACCUCUCCACCUUUACUUCCCACUGGCGCUUACACAAAUGAUAUCCUAGGAAUGACGUCUAUAAAAGGGAAAAUAAUCUCUCUCUCUCUCUCUCUCUCUCUCUCUCUCUCUCUCUCUCUCUCUCUCUCUCUCUCUCUUUCUGUCAAAGUAUUUAUAACACUUGACAACAAGCUAUUUCAAAUAACAGUCUUUUGCAAUUUAACCAAGGCAUUUGAUACCAUCUCCCACUACAUAUGAUUAGAAAAACUUACUGUUUACUGAAUACGCAGCAUUCCCCACAAAUAGUUCAAGAGGUGUCUCAGUAAUCGGAAACAAUUAACCUCU